rnacentral:lncRNA from 1 species
UGCAUUGUAGUGGUUGAUUGGGUGAUUGUUUGUUACUUAUUGAUGUCUUGAUGAUGACAUUAUCGCGGUGAUUGAUAUAAUGGAAUCUUAAAGUAGAAGUCGGGUUUAUGAGAUAGCUGUUGUUGUUAAUAGAGUUGGAAAUUACUAUGUGACUUGUGGUAUAUAUUCUAUGUCUAUAUGCAUCUAUUUAUACCUUCGGGUAUGGAGGAUGGUAGAUGUGAUUAGUGUAAGCUUUUGGAGGUAGGAUCGAGGUUAAUAUACUUGAGAAUACUUGGGCGUGUUACAUACGUUAGAGCCACUUGUUUGAGCAUGUGGCUGAUAAUAAUGUGAUGGUCGAAUGAGUAAUGAUAUAUUUGUAUAUGGAAUCAGUAUGGUUACUUGAGCCUGAAGACUGAUUAAUGGUACGUAAGGUUCUUCGUAUCAUUAAAUUAGAGAAGCUAGUAUCGUAGUAACUAUGGUUAAGAGUAUGAUACCCUAAUGUAAUCCUAGUGGGAGAACGGUUGUGGUUAGGAUAAGCAUCAAGCUCCGGGGUGGAAUUGAGUGAUUGUAUUUUAUUGUUAUCACUCAUGAAACUAUAGUCUCAUGAGUUAUAUGAGCUAUGGAUUUGUUUUGUCAUGAAGAGCAAAAUAAUGCUCCAAGGGUUGAAACUAUGCUUAGAUUAGUAUCAUCGAUACAGUUGUUAUUGAAGGUGGAGGAGUAGAAUAAAAUGUUGAACUACGAGUGGCUUGAUCCCUUUAAAAGGGUACGUAGGCAGCCCGAUUGAGUUUUGGGUGCAGCCGCAAAUUAACAAAAUAAAAUUUAGGUUCCAAAUGCGAUUAAAAUGUUUGUUGUGUUGUCUGAUUAUGAGAUCUUAUCUCAUUUUCGAAUUAGGAUUUCCUUAUUUAUUUUAUUCGGUUAUUCUUCUAACACCUGGGUCAGGGUGUUACAUUAUCGCCGGGACUUUUUGCCACAAGUUGUCGAUGUCCGACCAGCCACCAGCCGUCUCCUCUCUCUUCCCGGCCUAGUGUCCGAGCCGGUAGCACUACCGGAAAGGAGAAAACCAGUCAAAAACGUCGGCUGCCCCUUCGCCGGAGUUCCCUCCUCCGACCACCAUUGUC